UUGUCUGGACAAGAGAAGACUGAGGGGGGACAUGAUGACAGUUUUCUAGUACAUAAAGGGUUGUUACAAAGAGGAGGGAGAAAAACUGUUUUUCUUAACCUCUGAGGAUAGGACAAGAAGAAAUAGG